UACGGGGGGGGGCAAGCGUUGUUCGGAAUUACUGGGCGUAAAGGGCUCGUAGGCGGCCAACUAAGUCAGACGUGAAAUCCCUCGGCUUAACCGGGGAACUGCGUCUGAUACUGGAUGGCUUGAGUUUGGGAGAGGGAUGCGGAAUUCCAGGUGUAGCGGUGAAAUGCGCAGAUAUCAGGAGGAACACCGGUGGCGAAGGCGGGUCUCUGGGCCGAUACUGACGUGAGGAGCGAAAGCGUGGGGAGCGAACAGG
rnacentral:rRNA from 1 species